UCGAGGAUCUUCGGCAAUGGGCGCAAGCCUGACCGAGCGACGCCGCGUGGGCGAUGAAGGCCUUCGGGUUGUAAAGCCCUGUCGCGGGGGGGGAAAACCGACCCCCCGGGAGGAAGCACGGGCUAAGUUCGUGCCAGCAGCCGCGGUAAGACGAACCGUGCGAACGUUGUUCGGAAUCACUGGGCUUAAAGGGCGCGUAGGCGGGCUCGUAAGUCCAGGGUGAAAGCCCCCGGCUCAACCGGGGAAGCGCCUUGGAUACUGCGGGCCUCGAGGGGGGUAGGGGCGUGCGGAACUUCCGGUGGAGCGGUGAAAUGCGUAGAUAUCGGAAGGAACACCGGUGGCGAAGGCGGCACGCUGGGCCCGCCCUGACGCUGAGGCGCGAAAGCCAGGGGAGCGAACGG
rnacentral:rRNA from 1 species